GUAGGUGGCAAGCGUUGUCCGGAAUUAUUGGGCGUAAAGCGCGCGCAGGCGGUCCUUUAAGUCUGAUGUGAAAGCCCACGGCUCAACCGUGGAGGGUCAUUGGAAACUGGGGGACUUGAGUACAGAAGAGGAAAGCGGAAUUCCAAGUGUAGCGGUGAAAUGCGUAGAGAUUUGGAGGAACACCAGUGGCAAAGGCGGCUUUCUGGUCUGUAACUGACGCUGAGGCGCGAAAGCGUGGGGAGCAAACAGGGAUUAGAUACCCUGGUAGUCCACGCCGUAAACGAUGAGUGCUAAGUGUUAGGGGGUUUCCCGCCCCCCUUAGUGCUGCAGCUAACGCAUUAAGCACUCCGCCUGGGGAGUACGGCCCGCAAGGCUG
rnacentral:rRNA from 1 species